UAGAGGCACAAUGGGUCAGUGCAUCUGGCUGUUAACCAGAAGGUUGGUGGUUCAAGCCCACCCAGGGAAA